rnacentral:rRNA from 1 species
UACGUAGGGGCUAGCGUUGUCCGGAAUCAUUGGGCGUAAAGCGCGUGUAGGCGGCCCGGUAAGUCCGCUGUGAAAGUCGGGGGCUCAACCCCUCGAAAGCCGGUGGAUACUGUCGGGCUCGAGUACGGAAGAGGCGAGUGGAAUUCCUGGUGUAGCGGUGAAAUGCGCAGAUAUCAAGGAGGAACACCAACAGCGAAGGCAGCUCGCUGGGACGGUACUGACGCUGAGGCGCGAAGCGUGGGGAGCGAACAGGGA